UACGUAGGUGGCAAGCGUUAUCCGGAUUUAUUGGGCGUAAAGGGAACGCAGGCGGUCUUUUAAGUCUGAUGUGAGAGCCUUCGGCUUAACCGGAGUAGUGCAUUGGAAACUGGGAGACUUGAGUGCAGAAGAGGAGAGUGGAACUCCAUGUGUAGCGGUGAAAUGCAUAGAUAUCACGCAGAACUCCGAUUGCGAAGGCAGCGCACCGGCGCCCUACUGACGCUCAGGCACGAAAGCGUGGGUAUCGAACAGG
rnacentral:rRNA from 1 species